rnacentral:misc_RNA from 1 species
AUGGAUCCCCGAAUUCAUAGGAGGUCAGAGCCGGAAAAAGAAUCUGGUGAUUUGAUUAUAGAAUGGCUAAACGAAGCCUCUAUGAGCACUACCGAGGUGACGAAGGUUGCGAAUUUAGCUAAGGCUCAAGAAGUUCUUGUAAAUAAAGAACCGCAUUUGCUUAAUUUAUACUUGGAUGAGGUAUUGCAGUUUGCUUGUGAUAGGAAUGCCGAGGUGCGAAAGACCAUAGCGGGAUUUAUCGAUGAUACUGGAGUAAAACAUCCAGAUGUUAUUCCUUGCAUGGUACAUGUUUUAUCGAGGCUAGUUUCUGAUGAUGCAUCUGCAGUUUCGAAGCGAGCUCUAAGGGCAAGCAGUCGAAUUCUCAGAGCUGCUUUGAAAUGGAUAGCAAGCGCCUCUUUAGUGACACCUGAAAUGGAAAUGGCAUGGACGCAGCUUAGUAUGCUCAAGGUUCAAAUUAUAAAUAUGAUUGACAGUGACAAUGAUGGGAUCAGGACGCAAGCGGUGAAGUUCUUAGAAGGCGUUGUUCUAAUACAGACGUACCCUGAUCCUGAUGCUCCAAAGAAACCUGAUGAUUUUUCUUUGGAAGAUGUGCCGUUGACUCUCAAAAUUGCUCGUAGACGAAAAUUGGAAGAGGAAGCUAAUCAUGUAAUGGAAUUGUUAAUUAAAUUUCACGGUUCUCCACAUGUCAGUAGCGUAAAUCUGAUGACGUGCAUGGGAUCGCUGGCGCUUAUCGCUAAAACGCGCCCUCAAUUUAUGCCAGGAGUAAUUCAAGCUUUGCAGAGGCUUCAACAUGAUCUACCACCGACACUUUCUGACUCUCAAGUAACAAGUGUUCAGAAACAACUGAAGCUUACUCUACUUGGCUUGAUGAAACAUCCUGCAAGCUUGGAGUUUGCUUCAUCGAUAGCCCGACAGUUGAGCCAGCUUGGAGCAAAGGAACAAGAGAUUGUCAAGGCAUACCCAAAACCAGAAGAUAUUCGCCGAAUGAAGAAAAGGCAACAGGAAACUGCAGCGGCUAAUGCUGCGAAACGAGCGAAAUUGGAGGCAAUUCCUAUUCUUCCUGAAGAACCCGAGCCUCCAGUAGUUCCUGUGCAGCCUCCAAAACCUCCAGAACUAAUCGAGCUCCCGGAGAGUUAUAUUGCAGAAAGAUUAAGUGUAGAAAUUGCAACAGAUCUUGUUAUGGACAGUAUGGCAUGGGUACCAGAUACAAUGACUGCAAUCUUCCAACGAGACUAUCAACCAAGUGCUACGACAGAUAUAACUAUUCAGCGACAAACCAUUGCUAAACUGUUAGCGAAUCAAAUCAAGCAAGCAAAAGCGAAGAAAACCAAGAAAGAUGCAAAGGAUGAGGAAGCUGUCAUGGAAGAUUUGAUUAAAAAUCCAACGAUAAGCGUGGCUGAAGCAAAGAGGGAACGGAAGCGGGAGAAAGACAGGGAAAAGGAGAAGGAAGCAAGGGCAACGCUUGAGGCUGAGAAAUCGCUUGCGAAAGCUAGAAAUAGAUUAAAAUCCUUAAAGUUGUCAGAAGUUACGAAGCCUCUUUCAAAGGAGAUGAAAGAGAAGAUGCUAUUAAUGGCGGUGAACAGAAUCCUUUUUGCAGAAAAGGUUGCGAUCCUUGGUGGCGUAGCUCCUGUCAGGUCCAAAAUUUUAACAACUCUGGCUGCAACCUUUAAUCCAUAUAUCAAAGAGUCUGUUCUUCGUUACAUUACGGAUGACAUGCGUACUCGAUUGGACCUGGCGUUGGGGUGGCUUUACGAGGAGUAUGCAUUACUUCAGGGUUUUCAGAGGAGAACUACUUUGUGUACGAAACCUCAGGAAGCUCCACACCAAGCGUAUAAUUUUUUACUUUGCACUUUAGUGUCCGCAAUCGAUUUAAUCCAGGGCAAAGAUAGAGAUACGUUACUUUCAAGGUUAUAUUUGGAAGCACCGCUCAUCACUGAAGAUGCUGUGGAAGCAUUGAAAUUAGUGUCAUCGGAUGAAACCCGAGGACUUGCACCUUUGCAGCUCCUUAAGGAGAUGGUCAUUCGCCGGCCCACAAAACAAUUAGUUUUCUUGAAUGUACUGCUCUGUCACACUGGCCACGAAAACAAUACGAUAAGGGAGGCAGCGAUUCGAUUAGUCGUAGAGCUAUAUGCACGUCCCGAGCUGAGUAAAUUGAUAGAAGAGUAUGCAGUUCUCUAUUUGGGUUUCUUGAGGCUACAUAAUCCACCAGAAAUAGUAUUUGGGCAAGACAGAGGCAGGCCUCAAAUUGAAGACCUAUGGUCAGAGUCAACUACGAGGGCAUGUCUUGGAUUGUAUCUGGCUCUCUUAACAGAACAUCAAGACCUCAUUUACGAAUUGGCACGUGUAUAUACGUCAAUGGGACCAGAUGUGAAAAGGAUGGUUCUUCGAUUAGUGGAAGGUCCUGUCAGGUCCCUGGGUAUGGGAAGCCCUCAGCUUUUGGCGCUUGUAGAAAACUGUCCAAAAGGAGCAGAGACAUUAGUUACUCGAAUUAUCCACAUUUUGACGGAGAAAUCUCCUCCAAGUGCAGAAUUGGUAGCCAGAGUAAGGGAGCUCUAUCAGACCAGAGUCUCCGAUGUAAGAUUCUUGAUACCAGUACUAAAUGGGCUAACGAAGAAAGAAGUCAUUGCAGCACUGCCAAAAUUAAUUAAACUGAACCCUAUUGUCGUCAAAGAGGUGUUCAACAGGUUACUGGGGAAUCACAACAAUGAUGGCAGUAUACCACAUACAUCUCCGAUAACACCAGCUGAAUUGUUAAUCGCUUUGCACAGUAUCGACCCAACGAAAGCAGAGCUGAAAACUGUAAUAAAAGCCACUUCAUUGUGCUUUGCUGAGAAGCAAGCAUACACUCAAGAGACCGUAGCAGUUGUAAUGCAACAUCUCAUGGAUAUGACACCACUGCCUACGUUACUCAUGCGAACAGUUAUCCAGAGUUUGGCACUGUAUCCAAGACUCAGUGGGUUCGUCAUGAACAUUCUCCAACGUCUCAUUCUUAAGCAAGUGUGGAAGCAACCAAAGGUCUGGGAAGGAUUCGUAAAAUGUUGCGAACGCACUCAACCUCAAAGUUUCGCAGUGAUCCUACAACUGCCUCCAGUUCAGCUCGCCGAAGCUCUUAAAAUGGCGCCAGGAUUAAAGGCUCCACUUCUCGCACAUGUAGAAUCGUUUGCUGAAAAUCAGAAAGCACACAUUCCACAAUCAAUAAUGGAUGUCAUUCAAGGAAAAUCACUAUGUGAUCCAAAUGAUGAUUUUGAUAUCGCACCUCCGGGAGACUACUCAAUUGAAAAGGCUGAAUCGAUGGAAAUUGAUCUAUCGGAGCCUGCACCGCCAGGAUUGGAUUAACAUCCAAUUUAGUAAACUUCGAGUAUACAGGAGACUCCGUGACGUCUUUUAAGAAUGUGAACCUCACUGAGUGAAGGCCUGAACUUUUAUUUCGAGAAAAAUGAAUAUUUAAGAACGUCAACGACUGAAUAAUGCAACGCACUUGUAUCGCCAGUGCAUAUAAAUAUCUUUCAAAUGGACUAAUGAAAGUCGUCACACUAGGAAUUCUUGAAGUCUCACAAGUGACAGUUCAGUUGGUGAAAAGACAAGGAGAAAGUAACUUUAACGCGAAAAGGGAUAUCAAAAUAUAAACGACAUUACGGAAAGAUCUGUUAAUAACAAUCUACUAAUAGUUAGUACAUGCUGCUGGAUAUAUUCAUGGUCGAAGAGCAUCGCUUGGAAUUCUGGUAAAGUAGGAACGUUGUCCCAAGGCAUUUGAAUCCCUGCAAAAAUAGGACGUCUCCUACUUAACCUCAAAACUGUUACUUGGGCGAUACACCGACAUUAGGAUAUUUUAAAUAUAAUGUACACUCCUGCGUACAUCGAGAAGAAGUUAUCUAGGUGCCGCUAAAAUAUAUAAUAUAUUCCGUAAA